rnacentral:misc_RNA from 1 species
AUCGYGUCGCUCCCACCACGCCUCCUYGAUGGGGAUGCUUGGAUGUGGGCGGAGAUUGGUCUCCCGUUCCUAUGGUGCGGUUGGCUAAAACAGGAGUCCCCUUCGACGGACGCACGAUUAGUGGUGGUUGACAAGACCCUCUUAUCAAGUUGUGCGUUCUAAGGAGUAAGGAAUAUCUCUUCAAUGACCCCAAUGUGUCGUCCUGUGACGAUGCUUCGACC